UACGUAGGGGGCAAGCGUUGUCCGGAAUCAUUGGGCGUAAAGAGCGUGUAGGCGGCCAGGUAGGUCUGCUGUGAAAACUCGAGGCUCAACCUCGAGACGUCGGCGGAAACCAUCUGGCUAGAGUCCGGAAGAGGAGAGUGGAAUUCCUGGUGUAGCGGUGAAAUGCGCAGAUAUCAGGAGGAACACCGGUGGCGAAGGCGGGUCUCUGGGCCGUAACUGACGCUGAGGAGCGAAAGCAUGGGGAGCGAACAGG
rnacentral:rRNA from 1 species